GACGAACGCUGGCGGCGUGCUUAACACAUGCAAGUCGAACGGAAAGGCCCUGCUUUUGUGGGGUGCUCGAGUGGCGAACGGGUGAGUAACACGUGAGUAACCUGCCCUUGACUUUGGGAUAACUUCAGGAAACUGGGGCUAAUACCGGAUAGGUGCUCCUGCUGCAUGGUGGGGGUUGGAAAGUUUCGGCGGUUGGGGAUGGACUCGCGGCUUAUCAGCCUGUUGGUGGGGUAGUGGCUUACCAAGGCUUUGACGGGUAGCCGGCCUGAGAGGGUGACCGGCCACAUUGGGACUGAGAUACGGCCCAGACUCCUACGGGAGGCAGCAGUGGAGAAUAUUGCACAAUGGGCGGAAGCCUGAUGCAGCAACGCCGCGUGCGGGAUGACGGCCUUCGGGUUGUAAACCGCUUUCGCCUGUGACGAAGCGUGAGUGACGGUAAUGGGUAAAGAAGCACCGGCUAACUACGUG
rnacentral:rRNA from 1 species